UCAUUCAUAAUAGUUAGUACUAACACGAGAAAUAAUGUCAUACCACUAAAUUUGAGGAAUAGACUUAUGAUGAACAACUUCAUCUUGGAUUAAGUGAUUCAUCAAACCAAACACCUCCCUUAAACCAUCUCCAACAGCUUACCUAUACCUAUAUUCAAACUACACUAUAUAAACAGACAAUAUAAAACGAUGCAAAACGGUGUUUUUUUUUGUCAUUAGCAGGCUUACCAUGUAGCCUAACAACUUCCUACUCUGAAGCAAACAGUGCCCUUGGUAUGGAUUGCAUCAGUUAAAUUGUUAUUUGGAC
rnacentral:lncRNA from 1 species